AUUGAACGCUGGCGGCAGGCCUAACACAUGCAAGUCGGACGAGUGGCCGACUGGUGAGUGAUGUCUGGGAAACUGACUGAUGGAGAGGGAUAACUACUGGAAACGGUAGCUAAUACCUCAUACCUUAAGAUGUGCCCCUAUGGGAGUGGGUUGUUGGGGGGGUAACGGCUCACAAAGGCGACGACCCCUAGCUGGUCUGAGAGGAUGACCAGCCACACUGGAACUGAGACACGGUCCAGACUCCUACGGGAGGCAGCAGUGGUGAGUAUUGCACAAUGGGCGCAAGCCGGAUGCAGCCAUGCCGCGUGUAUGAAGAAGGCCUUCGGGUUGUAAAGUACUUUCAGCGGGGAGGCGUUACCCGCAGAAGAAGAACCGGCUAACGCCGUGCCAGCAGCCGCGGUAAUAC
rnacentral:rRNA from 1 species